GCAGAAGAGGAAAUCAGAAAGUUGAAGCAUGAGGGCGAUUGAAGUGAUAGAAGUUCUCUGACACUGGCUUAAGGGCCGAGGAGGCCUUGUGACAAGGAAUGUAGGUGGCCUCUAGGUGCUGAGAAUGAUCCCUCAUUGACAGCCAUCAAGAAAACGGGGACCUCGCUCCUACAACUAUAAGGAAAUGAAUUCUGCCAACAACCAGUGAGCUGGAGAGGACCCCACGUCCCAGAGGAGACCUCAGCCCUGGCUGGCACCUUGAUUUCAGCCCUCUGAGGCCCCAAGAAGAGAAUCCAGCCACACUAUGCCUGGAUUUUUGACCUACAGAAACUUUUGAACAGGGGACCCUGCUGUCUCCCCUGUGACAUCGGCCCAGAACAAGUCCAGCUGCUGAUUGCCUGGCGGGACCCAACAGUGGCCGCUGAGCACAAGAGCAAGCAAGUGCCUUCCUCACUGUCAUAGAGCGUCUCGUGAGUGGCAGAGUCAAGACAACAACCCAGGUCCCUGGACUCCCAGGUUGGUGCUGUGCUCUUUCCACUCUCUCCUGCUGCCCUCUCAGACUCAGCAACCAAAUGUGUGUCUGGAAGUGCACUGCUUCGUAUGUCAGCCAGACUGACCUUUACGUUCCCAGAAUCAUCAACCCUUUGUGGAAACCAUGGAAAGACGGUGCUGGAAAAAUAAUGACAAGCAUACCACGCUGUGGAGACAACCAGAAGCCCUGCUCAGACUGUGGAGUCCUCCUCACCUUCCAAGUACUGAAUCCCAAACAUAUAUACAAGCAGCAACUCAGGUGGGCCUAAGAAAUAAGGAGGUGGAAAACCAGACGUCUGACAAUUCAGCCAGUUCUCUUUCUCUUUUGCCUCCCACCCCGAUCUCCAAACUGGGGCUGAUUUCUACAGUAUCAAGACAUUCGUUACUCAGUUCCUGAGAGGAACCAGCUCCUAGGAGGUGGCCCAGCCCAGGACUGCUAGAGGCCUUGGGACUUUCUGCCAAGGCCCAAUCUGGCCUCAGGAGAACACGACUCUUGGGACUCACACAGGAAAAAUUCCCUCUUUCCCUCUUCUUAGCACCUCUUCACCUAACAAGGUUCCUCUGAGACUUGUGGGAUCCCCUGCUUUCCCUAAAGACAGUUUUCUUCCACUGUUAGGGGCCCUGAUUUAUGAAAUGAAUCAUGAGAGAUUCAUUUCUUUGUUUAUCUUACAGCAUGAGGGGUGGAGGAAAGACUUGUAAAGGCAAAUAUCCUCCAGUGAGCUGGAGUAUGU
rnacentral:lncRNA from 1 species